CCGAACUCACGACCUUGAGUGUGAUUUUUUUGAGAGGGAAAGUAUUCUGCCUCAGAAUUCUCGCUAACCUGCUCUGGACUAAGAGAGGGACUGAACAUCCAGAGAAAUGUAUAAAUUGGAGGCCUUCACCAGGCAGACUUUCUAAAAUAAGCAUGUGCAGUGAACACAUUGAAUAAUUGUGUUUAAUGGCAAGAAGUUCAACAUUUAACUAUAAAUACGGAAUUGGGACAAAAAAAUACAGACAUGAAGGCAUAACCAUUAAGUCUCAACAUCAUGAUCAAAUUUUCAUAAGGAAAUAAUUUAUUACAACUGAAGUUUUGAUUUGUUAAAAGUAGUUAAAGUCAGCCACAUGAACAGAGAGAAAUAUAACUUCAAUUUUAUUUCUUGUAUCACAGGAGCUGUUGACAGUACAUGUGGGGUUAUCCAGACACUGUUUCAAAAUGAUGUGAGUGGUCGGGACGUUAAUCAUCUGCCGACUCACUGUGGGAGGAGGACUCGGCGCCAGGUGCAGCGCAACAGCUGCUGUCCCUCAGUUACCGGGAUCGUGUCACAAUUCAUUUCCAUUAUGGCAGUCUGGUGUUCAAAAUCUGCUUCAAGCUAGUCACACAUAUGCUGAACGGCUGCUGGCACAGAGAAUAAAAAAACCCUGCGGGCACAAAAUAAAACAAGCCUUGGAGAGUUUUCUCAUCCCAGACAACCUACAGAGUUUGUGUCAAUUUGGAGUCACUGAUGCAAACAUUUUGUUCAGAUACUUUAUUUGUUUUCCACCCACAUGGCAUCAACAAGAAUGUUUUCAAGGUCAAAUGAGUAUUUUGACAAGAUGGUUGGAGUGGAAGAAGCUGACUUGGAACAUAGAAUUAAUUUAGGAGUGCAAGCCAUGCACAAAGAUGACAGAAAGACCCUGGUUCCUUGAAGACAUUUUGGAGCAGAUCUGUCAUACCAGACUUGCAUUGCUUGGAAGAUACAAACUUCUGUUUUGUUUAAACCAUUGUUAUUUUAUCUUUCUUACACUCCCAGAUAAAAUAAAAAUGAACUGAUA